GGCCGAGAUAGCUCAGUCG
rnacentral:tRNA from 2 species